GACGAACGCUGGCGGCGUGCUUAACACAUGCAAGUCGAACGGAAAGGCCCUGCUUUUGUGGGGUGCUCGAGUGGCGAACGGGUGUGUAACACGUGUGUAACCUGCCCUUGACUUUGGUAUAACUUCAGGAAACUGGGGCUAAUACCGGAUAGGAGCUCCUGCUGCAUGGUGGGGGUUGGAAAGUUUCGGCGGUUGGGGAUGGACUCGCGGCUCAUCAGCUUGUUGGUGGGGUAGUGGCUUACCAAGGCUUUGACGGGUAGCCGGCCUGAGAGGGUGACCGGCCACAUUGGGACUGAGAUACGGCCCAGACUCCUACGGGGGGCAGCAGUGGGGAAUAUUGCACAAUGGGCGGAAGCCUGAUGCAGCAACGCCGCGUGCGGGAUGACGGCCUUCGGGUUGUAAACCGCUUUCGCCUGUGACGAAGCGUGAGUGACGGUAAUGGGUAAAGAAGCACCGGCUAACUACGUG
rnacentral:rRNA from 1 species